rnacentral:rRNA from 1 species
GAGGUUUUUGGAUCGUAAACCCCUUUUGUCAAGGAAGAAGCUCUGACGGUACUUGACGAAUAAGCCUCGGCUAACUCCGUGCCAGCAGCCGCGGUAAUACGGAGGAGGCAAGCGUUAUCCGGAAUGAUUGGGCGUAAAGCGUCUGUAGGUGGCCAGCUAAGUCUGCUGUUAAAGAUCACAGCUCAACUGUGGGAAGGCAGUGGAAACUGGCAAGCUAGAGGUUGGUAGGGGUAAAGGGAAUUCCCGGUGUAGCGGUGAAAUGCGUAGAUAUCGGGAAGAACACCGGUGGCGAAAGCGCUUUACUGGGCCAGACCUGACACUGAAGGACGAAAGCUAGGGGAGCGAAAGGGAUUAGAUACCCCUGUAGUC